UCAUAGCGAGGAAAAGAAACCAACAGGGAUUGCCUCAGUAACGGCGAGUGAAGCGGCAACAGCUCAAAUUUGAAAUCUGGCCCCUUUGGGGUCCGAGUUGUAAUUUGCAGAGGGUGCUUUUGGUGUUGGCCGUGGUCUAAGUUCCUUGGAACAGGACGUCACAGAGGGUGAGAAUCCCGUACGUGGCCGCCGGCCCUCGCCUUGUAAAGCCCCUUCGACGAGUCGAGUUGUUUGGGAAUGCAGCUCUAAAUGGGAGGUAAAUUUCUUCUAAAGCUAAAUACCCGCCAGAGACCGAUAGCGCACAAGUAGAGUGAUCGAAAGAUGAAAAGCACUUUGGAAAGAGAGUGAAAAAGCACGUGAAAUUGUUGAAAGGGAAGCGCUUGCGGCCAGACGUGCCCGCGGUUGUUCAUCUGGGCUCUCGCCCGGUGCACUCCUCCGCGGGCAGGCCAGCAUCAGUUUGGGCGGUCGGACAAAGGUCUCUAUCACGUACCACCCCUCGGGGUGGCCUUAUAGGGGAGACGCAACACGGCCAGCCUGGACUGAGGUUCCGCGCAUCUGCUAGGAUGCUGGCGUAAUGGCAGCAAGCGGCCCGUCUUGAAACACGGACCAAGGAGUCUAACAUCUAUGCGAGUGUUUGGGUGUCAAGCCCGAGCGCGUAAUGAAAGUGAACGGAGGUGGGAACCCCUCGGGGCGCACCAUCGACCGAUCCUGAUGUCUUCGGAUGGAUUUGAGUAAGAGCAUAGCUGUUGGGACCCGAAAGAUGGUGAACUAUGCCUGAAUAGGGUGAAGCCAGAGGAAACUCUGGUGGAGGCUCGCAGCGGUUCUGACGUGCAAAUCGAUCGUCAAAUUUGGGCAUA
rnacentral:rRNA from 1 species